UACAGAGGUCUCAAGCGUUGUUCGGAUUCAUUGGGCGUAAAGGGUGCGUAGGUGGCCAACUAAGUCAUACGUGAAAUCCCUCGGCUUAACCGGGGAACUGCGUCUGAUACUGGAUGGCUUGAGGUUGGGAGAGGGAUGCGGAAUUCCAGGUGUAGCGGUGAAAUGCGUAGAUAUCUGGAGGAACACCGGUGGCGAAGGCGGCAUCCUGGACCAAUUCUGACACUGAGGAGCGAAAGCCAGGGGAGCAAACGGG
rnacentral:rRNA from 1 species